CUACAGGUACUAUUCAUUUUGUGGCUGUCAGCGUUCUUGAAUGAAGCUGGAAACCUUGCAUGUUGGGCCAGAUGACUUCUCCUAGCGUCUUUGUAGGUGAUGGCUCCAGUGAUAAGCUACUGUCUCACCUGAUGGGCUGGGAUCGGUAUCAGCUGGAGGAUUUCAAACUUUGCUUCCGGUCCCCACAGCUGCUGCCUGAGAACAUCCAGUAGAUCUCCUGGGCAAACUUGAAAGCCAUCAGGCCCACUCACCUGCUCGGUCUGUUGAAGGAACAUUUAUCCGUAGGGCAGAUAUGGGACGGGACCCUCCGCAUCUUUGAGCACAUGAAGCUGGCUUCGCUAUACGAGCAAAUGAGAGCAGAGAUGAAUGAGAUGGCACAGGUAUGGGGACCCCAAGAUCCAAACCAAGAAGAACCAGAGAUGCUGGAAGAAGAAACAGGGCUGCUGUAAUAAACUAACACAGACUG